GUGGGGAAUCUUCCGCAAUGGACGAAAGUCUGACGGAGCAACGCCGCGUGAACGAUGACGGCCUUCGGGUUGUAAAGUUCUGUUAUACGGGACGAAUGGUACGACGGCCAAUACCCGUCGUAAGUGACGGUACCGUAAGAGAAAGCCACGGCUAACUACGUGCCAGCAGCCGCGGUAAUACGUAGGUGGCAAGCGUUGUCCGGAAUUAUUGGGCGUAAAGGGCGCGCAGGCGGCGUCGUAAGUCGGUCUUAAAAGUGCGGGGCUUAACCCCGUGAGGGGACCGAAACUGCGAUGCUAGAGUAUCGGAGAGGAAAGCGGAAUUCCUAGUGUAGCGGUGAAAUGCGUAGAUAUUAGGAGGAACACCAGUGGCGAAAGCGGCUUUCUGGACGACAACUGACGCUGAGGCGCGAAAGCCAGGGGAGCAAACGGGAUUAGAUACCCUUGUAGUCC
rnacentral:rRNA from 1 species